rnacentral:sRNA from 7 species
UGUAUCUGAAGUCUGACGAGGAUGAGAACCUCCGGGGGCAAGAGGUUCGACCCGAGCGAAGCGAGAGAACGUUGCGCCAGCAACGGCCCGCAGGGCGAGCCACGCAGUGGCGAGUCAUCCUCUAUCACCGACCA